UGGGGAAUAUUGCACAAUGGGGGAAACCCUGAUGCAGCGACGCCGCGUGAGCGAAGAAGGCCUUCGGGUCGUAAAGCUCUUUUAUGAGGGAAGAUAAUGACGGUACCUCAAGAAAAAGCCCCGGCUAACUACGUGCCAGCAGCCGCGGUAAUACGUAGGGUGCGAGCGUUGUCCGGAAUUACUGGGCGUAAAGAGCUCGUAGGCGGUUUGUCACGUCGUCUGUGAAAUCCUAGGGCUUAACCCUGGACGUGCAGGCGAUACGGGCUGACUUGAGUACUACAGGGGAGACUGGAAUUUCUGGUGUAGCGGUGGAAUGCACAGAUAUCAGGAAGAACACCGAUGGCGAAGGCAGGUCUCUGGGUAGUAACUGACGCUGAGGAGCGAAAGCAUGGGUAGCGAACAGG
rnacentral:rRNA from 1 species